rnacentral:rRNA from 1 species
GAUGAACGCUGGCGGCGUGCCUAAUACAUGCAAGUCGAGCGGACAGACGAUGAGCUUUCUCCUCUACCGUUAGCGGCGGACGGGUGAGUGACACGUGGAUAGGCAUCCUAUAUUUCUUGGGGAACAUCGUGAAACCGGAGCUAAUACCAGCUCAUAUAUUCAACCGCAUGAUUCAAUGGUUCAACACACUUUUCCUGUCUCUUUUAGCUGAUUCCGAGGCGCAUUAGCUAGUUGGUAAGGUAACGGCUUACCAAGGCAACGAUGCGUAGCCGAACUGAGAGGAUGAUCAGCCACACUGGAACUGAGACACGGUCCAGACUCCUACGGGAGGCAGCAGUAGGGAAUAUUCCGCAAUGGGCGAAAGCCUGACGGAGCAACGCCGCGUGAGUGAUGAAGGUCUUCGGAUUGUAAAGCUCUGUUAUUAGGAAAGAAAAAAUGUGUAAGUAAAUAUGCACGUCUUGACGGUACCAAAACAGAAAGCCACGGCUAACUACGUG